rnacentral:rRNA from 1 species
AUGGGUGAGGAGGAACAAGGGCAAGAUGGUCUUGCGGUAGAUGAUCCGGAGAAGAAGACGUCGGCUGCGAGCGGCAGGCUGCAGCUGUCGCCGUCGUCGUUGAGGGAGGCGCUCUCCUGCACCUCCUCCUUGUCCCUGAGAGAGCAGCAGCACGACGAAGAGGGGGAGCUGAAAUGGGCGGCCAUCGAGCGGAUGCCCACCUGGGACAGGCUCCACACCUCGCUCCCGCUCCACGCCAACGCCAAUGGCAAUGGCAAUGCCAACGGCGUUCGUCCGCUGGAGCCGGUGGACGUGCGCCGGCUGGGGGCUGCGGACCGGCGGGAGCUGGUGCACACCCUCAUCGCCGACAUCCACGAGGACAACCUCCGCCUGCUCCGGCACCAGCGCCGCAGGAUGGACAGGGUCGGCGUGCGCCAGCCCACGGUGGAGGUGCGGUGGCGGAACCUCCGCGUCGACGCCGAGUGCCAGGUCGUCGAUGGCAAGCCGCUCCCCACGCUCCUCAACUCCGUCGUCUCCACGUUCUCGCUGCUCACCACCAUGCUCGGCUUCAACCGUCACCAAGAAAGGAUCCACAUCCUCAAAGAUGUCACCGGCAUCCUCAAACCUUCCAGGAUGACCCUUCUCCUUGGACCCCCGGGCUGUGGCAAAACCACCCUUUUGCUAGCACUUGCUGGAAAGCUCAACAAAAAUCUCAAGGUAACAGGAGAAAUUGACUACAAUGGUGUCAAGCUGCAAGAUUUUGUUCCAGAGAAGACAGCAGCUUACAUUGGCCAGUAUGAUCUUCAUGUCCCUGAGAUGACUGUCAGGGAGACGCUCGACUUCUCUGCAAGAUUCCAGGGCGUUGGCAGCAGAGCAGAAAUCAUGAAGGAAGUCAUUAGAAGGGAGAAAGAGGCUGGGAUCACCCCUGACCCCAACAUAGAUACGUACAUGAAGAUAAUGGGACUUGACAUAUGCGCCGAUGUACUAAUAGGAGAUGCCAUGAGAAGAGGUAUUUCAGGCGGUGAGAAGAAAAGAUUAACCACAGGAGAGAUGAUAGUAGGACCAUCAAAAGCGCUCUUCAUGGAUGAAAUAUCAACUGGGCUGGACAGUUCUACCACCUUCCAAAUUGUUUCUUGUCUCCAACAGCUAGCUCAUAUAUCAGAGUCUACCAUACUGGUCUCACUCCUUCAACCAGCACCAGAGACUUACCAACUUUUUGAUGAUAUUAUCUUGAUGGCUGAAGGAAAAAUCGUAUACCAUGGUCCUAAGAGCUGCAUUAUGAGUUUCUUUGAAUCCUGUGGCUUUAAGUGCCCUGGAAGAAAAGGGGAUGCUGACUUUCUUCAAGAGGUCCUGUCAAAAAAAGAUCAACAACAAUACUGGAGCCGCACCGAAGAAGGAUAUAAUUUUGUUACUAUUGAUCAAUUCUGUGAUAAGUUCAAAGCAUCUCAAAGUGGUCAGAAUCUUGCUGGGGAGCUUUCGAAGCCGUAUGACGAAUCUAAAGGAGAUAAUAAUGCCCUGUCCUUCAGUAUCUACUCAUUAUCCAAGUGGGAUCUACUCAAGGCAUGUUUUGCACGAGAGCUCCUUCUUAUGAAAAGGAAUGCCUUCAUCUACAUAGCAAAAACCAUUCAGCUUGGAUUACUUGCUGUUAUUACUGGGACAGUAUUUCUCCGCACACGUAUGAGUGUUGACAGAAUUCAUGCUAACUAUUAUAUGGGUUCACUCUUCUAUGCGCUCCUGCUGCUGAUGGUGAAUGGAUUCCCUGAGCUGGCCAUGACAAUUGACAGUCUGCCGGUCUUCUACAAACAGAGAGACGACUAUUUCUAUCCUGCAUGGGCUUAUGCAAUACCAUCUUUUAUCCUAAAAAUUCCAGUCUCUUUAGUUGAGUCAGUAGCUUGGACAACAAUAUCCUACUACCUGAUUGGCUAUACCCCGGAAGCAUCCAGAUUUUUCUGUCAGCUCCUCGUCCUCUUCCUCAUGCACACAGUAACAUUAUCAAUGUUUCGAUGUAUCGCCUCAUACUGUCAAACAAUGGUGGCUGGUUCAGUCGGUGGUACGAUGGCAUUUCUAGCCACCCUUCUGUUUGGGGGUUUCAUAAUUCCUCGUUCAUUUCUGCCUAAUUGGCUAAAGUGGGGAUUCUGGCUUUCUCCAUUGUCGUAUGGUGAAAUAGGCUUAACUGGAAAUGAGUUUUUGGCACAAAGAUGGUUGGAGAUCAAGGUAUCUGGUGUAGCACUCGGAAGGAGGAUCCUAAUGGAUCAAGGGGUAGACUUCUCCAGCUAUUUUUACUGGAUCUCAAUUGGAGCAUUGCUUGGGUUUACUUUGAUGUUCAAUGUAGGCUUUGCCAUAGGUUUGACCAUUAAAAAGGUUCCAGGAACUUCUCGAGCUAUUAUCUCUCGCAAUAAGCUUACCACAUUUGAUGGAGUAGACCAAGAUAACAACACGGAAAAUAUGAUGCCUAAGUUACAAGCAGAGACUGUUUUGUCACCAAAUAGGACCGGGAGGAUGGUAUUGCCUUUCACGCCCCUUAUAAUAUCAUUCCAGGAUGUCAACUACUAUGUAGACACCCCUGCGGAAAUGAGGGGGCAUGGUUACAUAGAAAAGAAACUACAGCUACUCCACAAUAUCACAGGAGCAUUCCAGCCAGGGGUUCUCUCGGCACUCAUGGGGGUUACUGGAGCGGGAAAAACAACACUCCUUGAUGUUCUUUCUGGAAGGAAAACUGGUGGUGUUAUUGAAGGGGAUAUAAGAAUAGGAGGGUACCCUAAAAUUCAGCAAACUUUUGCUAGGAUAUCAGGCUACUGUGAACAAACUGAUGUCCAUUCCCCACAGAUCACAGUCAGCGAAUCGGUUGCAUAUUCAGCCUGGUUGCGCUUUCCACCAGAAGUUGAUUCAAAAGCAAGAAAUGAAUUUGUCAAGGAAGUUCUUGAAAUAAUUGAGUUGGACGAAAUUAGAGAUUCUUUGGUCGGAAUACCAGGGGCAAAUGGGCUAUCAACAGAGCAAAGGAAACGGCUUACGAUUGCAGUUGAGCUCGUGUCUAACCCCUCGAUCAUAUUUAUGGAUGAGCCAACGUCAGGCUUGGAUGCAAGGGCCGCUGCUAUUGUCAUGCGUGCAGUGAAGAAUGUUGCAGACACAGGUCGAACAGUUGUGUGCACCAUUCACCAACCAAGUAUCGAUAUAUUUGAGGCAUUUGAUGAGUUGAUGCUGAUGAAAAGGGGUGGAGAGUUGAUAUAUGCUGGGCCAGUUGGACACCAUUCAUGUGAGGUCAUCAAGUAUUUCCAGGCAAUACCUGGGGUAGCCAGGAUCAAGGAAAACUACAACCCAUCAACAUGGAUGCUAGAAGUUACUUCUACAUCUAUGGAACUUCAACUGGGAGUAGAUUUUGCACAAAUGUACAGGGAAUCAUCAAUGUGCAAGGACAAGGACAUGCUGGUGAAGCGAUUGAGCAUGCCAGUUCCCGGUACAAGUGACCUCCAUUUCCCAACCCAGUUUCCACAGAAGUUUCGGGAGCAAUUCAAAGCUUGCCUCUGGAAGCAGUGUUUGUCGUAUUGGAGAACUCCUUCUUACAACCUGGUGCGGAUUGUAUCCUUAGCAGUGGCCUGCAUUUUCUUCGGUGUGUUAUUCUGGCAGCAAGGCAAUAUCAAUCACAUAAACGAUCAGCAAGGUCUCUUCACCAUAUUGGGCUGCAUGUAUGGAUUCAUUCUGUUCAGUGGCGUCAACAACUGCCAGUCAGUGAUGCCUUUUGUCUCCGUUGAACGCUCCGUCGUGUACAGGGAAAGGUUUGCAGGGAUGUACUCUCCUUGGGCCUACUCUUUUGCGCAGGUUGCCAUGGAGAUACCUUAUGUGCUGGUGCAGGUAGUGCUCUUCAUGUUGAUAGCAUAUCCAAUGAUAGGGUAUGAGUGGACAGCAGCAAAGUUCUUUUGGUUCAUGUACACCAUGUUGUGCACACUGCUCUACUUCGUCUACCUGGGAAUGUUGAUGGUGUCACUCACCCCCAACAUCCAAGUCGCUUCCAUACUCGCAUCCAUGUUCUACACCCUGCAGAAUCUCAUGUCCGGGUUCAUCGUGCCUGCGCCUCAAAUACCAAAAUGGUGGAUAUGGCUCUACUACAUCUCCCCAAUGUCGUGGACGCUCAAUGUCUUCUUCACCACGCAGUUCGGAGAUCACAACGACAGGAUGAUCGUUGUAUUUGGAGAGACCAAAUCCGUCUCAGCAUUCAUGACGGACUACUUUGGUUUUCGCCGUGACCUGCUGCCACUGGGAGCGGUGGCCCUGGCAGCAUUCCCUGUCCUCUUUGCCGUCCUCUUUGGUUACAACAUCUCAAAGCUGAACUUCCAAAGGCGAUAG